UAUUCUGACUCAUGGUGGCCCCAUGUAUGUCAGAGUAGAACUGUGCUCCAUAUGGUUUUCAAUGGCUGAUUUUUUGGAAGUAGAUAGCGAGGCCUUCUUCUGAGAUCCCUCUGAGUGGGUUAGCAGUGAGUGGGUUAAAUGUUUGCACCACCCAGGGACACCCCUAUGGAGAUAGCGUAAUGAAAAACUCCAGGAUUUCAAGGAACAAGCAAGUCUUCUUUGAAAACUCUAAAAGCAGAGAGAAGCAAUUUCCCUUACAUAAUGGUAUUCCCCUCAACGUUGGCCUCUCAAGUGCUCUGUCUCAACAAAGGUAGGAAAUAUAGGGCCGUGGAGAGAUACCCUGCUGGAUCAGGCUGGUUGUGAGCCUGUACAAACUAUUCCCUUAGGACUCUCAGAAAUGUGUGAGUGGGCUUUGCAGGGGCUGGAGGGGCUCCUCAUCACCUCAGCAGGUGGAUGCAAAGGACAGGUGGAAUUUGGGUGCUUAUUUUAUUUUUCUUCAUGUAGUUCUUUUUAGUUCUAUUGGUGUGCCCAAACCGUUGAGGUCUAGGGGAGCUUGGGUUGUAAAAAAAUAUCAGCUGGGUUUGGUAAUUGGUAGGUUCUUGGUGUUUUUAGCAAGAGAAGUUUCAGUGGAAUGGCGGGGGCUGAAGCCAGACUGCAAAAGCGUGAGGAAUGAAGGUAUGGGAAGUGAGGAAAUGGAGACGGUGUUGACCGCUCUUUGGAGAAAUGUGGCUGGUGAGGGGAAUGAAGUCUUCUUAUAGUGGCCAAAAAGGAUACGUGAGGGUCCUUUUUAGAAUGGAAGAGCCUUCAACAACUUGUUGGGCUGAGAAGAAGUUGCCAAGAGAGAGUUGUAGAUAUGGGGCUGAGUGGGGGCUGAUGGAAAAAGUUUCCAGAAUCUAAGGGGGAAUGGGAUUCAGGGACCAGGAGAAUUCUGGGGCAACUUGCCCUGGGGAAAGAGGGCAGAAAUGGGUGUAGGAAAGUUUGGAGAGUGAGGAGUGCUCACGUUGAGGGCUCAGUGUUCUCGGUGAAGUAUGAGGUUGAGUCAUUUUCUGAGACUGUGGGGCAGGAACUGAGCUGCGGGUUUGGAAAAGCAGCAGAGAUGGGAGAAUGAGCUGACCGGGAACAGGGAGGACUGAUGAGCCAAGGAUCAAAUGACAAAACAUAGAAAUGUAGUAUCUGGGAUGUGGCAGGCAUUCAAUGUGUUCGUGGAAAGAUGAAGGAAGAACCAGAACAAAGAUACCCACUAUCACUGCUUCAGUUCUGAGUCUCUCUACCAGAGUUCCCAGCCAACAAAGUAAAACAAGAAAAAGAAAUUUAAAAAAAAGUACAAGAGUUGGAAAGGAAGAAACAACGUUGUCGCUAUCUGCUGGUAUGUUUGUCUACCUAUUAGAAGUAAAGAGUUUAAGAAUGCUGAAUCGAAGAGCAACAAACAAAACUCAACUGCCUUACUAAAAAAAA